rnacentral:rRNA from 1 species
GAUGAACGCUGGCGGCGUGCUUAACACAUGCAAGUCGAACGAGAAGUGAAGACGGAAACCUUCGGGCGGAAGGCUUUAUUUCGAGUGGCGGACGGGUGAGUAACGCGUGGGUAACCUGCCUCAUACAGGGGGAUAACAGUUGGACACGACUGUUAAUACCGCAUAAGACCACAGCACCGCAUGGUGCGGGGGUAAAAACUCCGGUGGUAUGAGAUGGACCCGCGUUCGAUUAGCCAGUUGGCGGGGUAACGGCCCACCAAAGCGACGAUCGAUAGCCGAUCUGAGAGGAUGACCGGCCACAUUGGGACUGAGACACGGCCCAAACUCCUACGGGAGGCAGCAGUGGGGAAUAUUGCACAAUGGGGGAAACCCUGAUGCAGCGACGCCGCGUGAGUGAAGAAGUAUUUCGGUAUGUAAAGCUCUAUCAGCAGGGAAGAAAAUGACGGUACCUGAGUAAGAAGCCCCGGCUAACUACGUG